GGUUUUAAUAAGAUUGAGGCCAUAAUCCGGCUAUGGAAGGUUUGAUGUAAACGCCUGUUUGUUACCUUAAUCGGGUAUGGUAAGAAUCUGAGAAAACAUUACAUUAACUCCGAUAUGUUUGCGUAAAUUUUCGAUUUGUGUGUGCACAUGAACGUAGGAAAGUCGGCUUUAAAUUUUGACAUUUUAAAACUGCAUAUGCGGAAGGUCACCAGACGCAGUGACCUGGAUGUUGUUUGUAUAUCUUUAUGCAGGGGGAAAGGAUCAAGUACAGUUAAACCAGCAUGAUUAAGUCUGAGGCACUGUGGUUUUAAUCGAUGUUUAAAGAUGGUAGGGAAACACUCAGGUGGGUAUGAGCGUGUGGCAUGCCUGCGACGAUUCAACAUGUUAUUAUAAUGUAAAAUACAGGAAAGUAAGAUGGUAUUCAACUUUAUUUCAGAAUUAGGAGUUUCUUUUGAAACGUUUCUUGGUUCAGAUAAGAAUAAGCGGUAACUAUUUGAAAGGAAAGCUUUGGAUUUGUUUGUAUGCAACCAGACUUGCACGGAUGCAUCCGAGGAUCAGUUGUGUUUUUUUUUAACGACAAGCAGAGGGCAGUAAUGCGUGUGGAAGUUUAACAAACCAGUAUCAAACAAAGCGAAGAAGAAGCGGAAGCAAAACGCAGAGCGAUGUGAAGUAAUUAUUUUUGGACCCAGGAGCUGAGGGGAGUGCUUCGGAGGAAUCGGUGCUGGGCGCUUCAUAUGUCCCGAUUCAGAAUGCUGCUCCCCGACUCGCCUUCAACCUUCCCAAGUUAUCCCAUGUCACUCCUCUGCUGAGUUCACUCCACUGGCUACCGGUCACUGCCAGGACCAGGUUCAAAGUCUGACCCUCACCUACCCUGCAGCCAACAGGACGGCCCCCGGCUACUUACAGGACAUGAUUCAAUCCUACACGCCAGCUCAACCACUUCGCUCUGUGGCAACAGGGCCACUUGCACCCCUGCCAUUCGGAUGAAUCUGGGAUCAUUUGAGCAAUCGGGGAUCAUUUUUAUCACUUAAAUCCCACUCUUUCAUGCUACACAUGUACCUCCUGUGCCAAUUUCAUGUUACAUGUACCUCCAUCCAGCACUUAUACUGUACUUUGUAUCAUUAUCUUGCUGUUGUAGCUUGUCAUGCCUCCUAGUUUUACUUAGCAUAGGUUAGGUUAGAGUAAUGUUUAAUGUGCGUACUAAACUUAAUGUGUUUGUGGUUAUGAAUAACUAUUACAAAAUGAGUAUUGUACCUUAUUGGACCUGUGUUUUGUAGUUGUUCCAAUGACCUUUGGUAUGCACUUAUUGUACAUCACUGGAUAAAAAUGUCUGCUGAAUAUAUGUAAUACAAUGUAAUGUCAGGAGUUUGCCUCCCUCUGCUGGACAGAAAACGGCAUUACAGCAGAGGAAGUCCAAUUUAAAAAAUGUUGCAAUGUACAAGUCUAUUUUUUGUAUGGUUAUCAAAAUGUAUGUGGAUUUUAAUGCUGCACACAAGGUGCCCUCUGGGGAUAAUAAAGAUCUACUGAAACCGAAA